rnacentral:rRNA from 1 species
AACGAACGCUGGCGGCAGGCCUAACACAUGCAAGUCGAGCGAGACCUUCGGGUCUAGCGGCGGACGGGUGAGUAACGCGUGGGAAUAUGCCCUUUGGUACGGAAUAGCCUCGGGAAACUGAGAGUAAUACCGUAUGUGCCCUUCGGGGGAAAGAUUUAUCGCCAAAGGAUUAGCCCGCGUUGGAUUAGGUAGUUGGUGGGGUAAUGGCCUACCAAGCCUACGAUCCAUAGCUGGUUUGAGAGGAUGAUCAGCCACACUGGGACUGAGACACGGCCCAGACUCCUACGGGAGGCAGCAGUGGGGAAUCUUAGACAAUGGGGGCAACCCUGAUCUAGCCAUGCCGCGUGAGUGAUGAAGGCCUUAGGGUUGUAAAGCUCUUUCAGCUGGGAAGAUAAUGACGGUACCAGCAGAAGAAGCCCCGGCUAACUCCGUGCCAGCAGCCGCGGUAAUAC